rnacentral:tRNA from 1 species
GCCCAGGUGGUGAAAUCGGCAGACACACAGGACUUAAAAUCCUGAGGGCCGCAAGGCUCGUGCGGGUUCAAGUCCCGCCCUGGGCA